UAGGGAAUCUUCCACAAUGGGCGCAAGCCUGAUGGAGCAACACCGCGUGAGUGAAGAAGGGUUUCGGCUCGUAAAGCUCUGUUGUUAGAGAAGAACGUGCGUGAGAGUAACUGUUCACGCAGUGACGGUAUCUAACCAGAAAGUCACGGCUAACUACGUGCUAG
rnacentral:rRNA from 1 species